rnacentral:rRNA from 1 species
ACUCAAAUGAAUUGACGGGGACUUGCACAAGCAGUGGAUUAUGUGGUUUAAUUCGAUGACAAACGAAGAACCUCACCCGGGUUAGAAAUCUAGUUGAAGUUUUUGGGAAACCAGAAACGUCCGCAAGGACAAUUAGACAGGUGAUGCAUGGCCGUCGUCAGUUCGUGGUUUGAAUUGUUCCCUUAAGUGGGGUAACGAACGCAACCCUCGUUGCCUGUUAUAAAUGUCAGGCGAGACUGCCCACGAUUCAGUUCGAAAUUUUUGCAAAAGCGAAAGCUUGCCGAAAUUUUUAGUUGGAUCGUGGGAGGAAGGCGAGGAUGACGCCAGGUCAGCAUGUCCCUUUGAUAUCCGGGGCUACACACAUAAUACAAUGGCGACUACAACGCGUUGCGACGGGGUAACCCUGAGCUAAUCGUAAGAAAAGUCGCCCCAGUUCAGAUUGGGGGCUGCAACUCGACCCCAUGAAGUUGGAAUUGCUAGUAAUCGCAGGUCAGCUAUACUGCGGUGAAUACGUUCUCAAGUCUUGUACACACCGCCCGU